AGAGUUUGAGUCCUGGCUCAGGACGAACGCUGGCGGCGUGCCUAAUACAUGCAAGUCGAGCGGAACACUUGGAGCUUGCUCCAAGCGUUUAGCGGCGGACGGGUGAGUAACACGUGGGCAACCUGCCCUGCAGAUCGGGAUAACUCCGGGAAACCGGUGCUAAUACCGAAUAGUUUGGAACCUCUCCUGAGGUUCCACGGAAAGACGGUUUCGGCUGUCACUGCAGGAUGGGCCCGCGGCGCAUUAGCUAAGUUGGUGGGGGUAAUGGCCCACCAAGGCGACGAUGCGUAGCCGACCUGAGAGGGUGAUCGGCCACACUGGGACUGAGACACGGCCCAGACUCCUACGGGAGGCAGCAGUAGGGAAUCUUCCGCAAUGGACGCAAGUCUGACGGAGCAACGCCGCGUGAGUGACGAAGGUUUUCGGAUCGUAAAACCCUGUUGUGAGGGAAGAACAAGUACCAACUAACUACUGGUACCUUGACGGUACCUCACCAGAAAGCCACGGCUAACUACGUG
rnacentral:rRNA from 1 species